ACUUGCGUCGCCACACCUCGCCGCACCUCGCCUUGCUGCCUGAAGUCGAUCUGCCAAAAUCCCAUAUUUUUUCCAAUUAACAAUUUCUUCAUUUUCAUGGCAGAUCCUUCCCAUCUUAAACCCAGCAGAAAGAAUUAUACUCAAUGAGCAGGAAGAAUUAUCUCAGCAGCACAUUAAUGGCAAUAACUUUACUGAUAGACCAAGGUUUUCCAAUUCUAGCUUUCGGGAGGAUCCAUCUUCAGGAAGCACUUUGAACACUUCAGCGAAUCCUUAGGAUAGGCCAAUUGGGAGUGCCAACAAGCUUGUUAGCAGUGGUCAAGAGGGGCUUACUUAUGAUGACAACUCAGGACAUGGAUUCUUAACUGACAUCUUUGCUGAGAAUGCAAUCGUGGAUGAUACUAAUUUGAACCCUUUGGAGUUCUUAGCUUCUCUGUUCCCUGGUUUUGCUGUAGAAAGCCUUGUGAUAGUGACAUUGGUUUCAAUUCGGACAUUGCUUCAA